GACGAACGCUGGCGGCGUGCUUAACACAUGCAAGUCGAACGAAGUGGCGAACGGGUGAGUAACGCGUAAUCAACCUGCCCUUCAGAGGGGGACAACAGUUGGAAACGACUGAUAAUACCGCAUACUGAAGGUGGGGAUGGCGUCUGAUUAGAUAGUUGGAGGGGUAACGGCCCACAAAGGCGAUGAUCAGUAGCCGGUCUGGGAGGGUGAACCGCCAACUUGGGACUGGGACACGGGCCAGACUCCGACGGGAGGCAGCAGGGGGGAAUCUUCCGCAAUGGACGAAAGUCUGACGGAGCAACGCCGCGUGAGUGAUGACGGCCUUCGGGUUGUAAAGCUCUGUUAAUCGGGACGCGGUACCGGAAUAGAAAGCCACGGCUAACUACGUGCCAGCAGCCGCGGUAAUUC
rnacentral:rRNA from 1 species